rnacentral:tRNA from 1 species
GCCUGGGUGGCUCAGUCGGUUAAGCGUCUGACUUCAGCUCAGGUCAUGAUCUCACAGUUUGUGAGUUCGAGCCCCGCGUCGGGCU